AAUCUUAUUUCUCAAAUUUCAUGCAGGGUGUAGUGACAAAGGUGAAUGUUCGAGUGAUGGCGUUAAAUCUUGUGACAUCACUGGUGGUGAGAGUCCAGUUACCAGAAAGAGAGCUCAUCGUCCAACCCUGAAAAGUUUUAAAUCUACAAAUGAGAAUUGUUCUAAUCCUUCACCAAUAUCUAAUGCAACUGAGGACCAUACUAGCCGAUCCCCUAGUGAUAGAGAUGAUGUAUUAUCUCUUAAUGAUUCCAGUUCCCCAAAUUCUCCUGGAAACCAUUCAGCAGGCUCUGCUGACCAUUUUUUAGCAAUUGAUGAUUCAUUUGAUUCAAGUCAUGAUGAUUCACCUCUCUCUAAGAGAACUCGCCACUCUUCCAAGCGUAUAGAUUCUGAUUCUUCUGAUUCUAAUAGUAAAAAUGAAAAUUUUCGACAAAAGGAGAAGGCAUAGUCACCAGCCUUCCUCCUUUUCUGAAGAGAAGAGAUUGGUCACAGCACAGUCGAUGUGAAAGGACAAAGCGAAAGAUGAUAUCAGCUAUUGGAUCUCAUUCCAUAGAUGCAUAUUUCCCUAUUCUUAAUAAAAUGGAAGUUGUACUGAGGGAAAAUGAAGAGUUAAAGAAAAAGUUAGUGGAAGCUAUGAAAAUGAACUUUAAAGCUAAAGAGCAGGAAUUUGACUGCCCUACUGCUGGUGGGCCAUAGGGUCUCACCUGACCAGUGCCCUGUCGCUCCUAGGCGCACCAGUAGCACGUAGCACUGGGUCAACAUGGGGUCCCUCUAGCGGCCGCUCUUAGUUCCCAACUUGAAAUGCGAUCUAAGUCGGGAAAGCGUUGUCUUUGGUGGUGGCUAGAUUUUGCACAGGGUCGCUUCGAGGUCAAAACGAUUUUUAGAGAGUGCAACCUCUGAAAUCUCCAUCGUUAACCGUCGACCUUUUUGAUACGGGCCAAGGGUCGCUCGGCCAAGCCUUUUUCAACAGCGGUCACUCGGAAAAUCCUUUCUCGCAGGAAGGCAUCGUAAAAGACUACAGCAUUGAGAUACUAGAUGAAAGACAGGCCGGUUGAAAUAUUUCAUCAUAUGAAAGACUUGAAAAGUUGAAAAGCUACACCGACUACCGAGGGGGCCUCUACUCUCUUGUAGGAUGUUCACCAGAUUGCCAAGAUUGCCAUAGAUUGCUUUACGAAUGUUUAGCUUUAAGGGCAUAAACCGCCUGUAACUAGGCAAAACGCACUAAUGUCUCCCUGAAUGUAGGCAAAAAGCAUGGCUUUUGCAGCCGAUUACCUAGAGAUUGCCGAAGUUUAUCGUAGAUUGCCGGGGUGGGUGUACACCAGAUUGCCGGAGUUGAGGCCCCCUCGCCAACUACACCAUACGAAAGACGAAAACAGUUACACCUUAAGCAAGUCUGCAAGCCCAUAGUGUGCGGCGAGCCAUUUGUAAUGGUCCCGGGAGAGUAGGCAGCCUCCCAUUGGCUCCCGUCACCAGCUUCUAGUACCAGCCGCUAGGGCGCGGUAGCCCGCAUGGAAAAAAGUGUUCCACAAGACCACACCACGCCCCCGGACGCCAAGGGAGCCCGCGCAACCACCCUUCUGUGCGGGCGAGCAAGACAAGUGCGGGCAGCUCACGUGUACACCGCCGAGGCGGCGGCCAACUGUCACAGGCCCCUCGCCGAUAAGGACCAGAGCGCCAGCGCAUCGCGCUUGGCGCGAAUAGCGGCCAGUGAGACACGGGCGUCCAGUCAGUGAAGGUUCUUCGUCACCGCCAUGAGAACCCUUCUAGUGGCCAUUCUGACGGUAGUGGCGGUGGUCGCCGCCGCGGCUGCGGCCGGUAGCGAGGACUUCUGCUCGCGGUGCGACACCAGCGGCCUGCGGUACCGGCUCGUCCGCGGCGCGGCCGAGGCGGAGGCCUGCGACUGCGACCGCGGCAGGGAGGAGCGGUGCUUCCUGUGGAUGCUGGGCCGCAGGUUCAACGAGGAGGCACAGCGGUGCGAGUUCAACUUCGACUGCCACGCGUGGCUGGCCGACAACAACACCACUGGGCUAAAGCGGGGUUGACCCCGCUCUGGGGAUACCGCGCGGGAAUUUCUUUGUAUUUUUUAAAAUGUAGUAUUGGUGUUCUCUGACUUUCUGUUCUACAAAAGCAGAUCAGAAAAUGCAAUGAAAUAUCAAUGUAUUUGAAAUAAACUUUUACUCGAACCCGAGAAGACUUUAGAAAUGCACUCAUUAUUCAUCGAGUUACGUGAAGUGACCCUUGUUCCAAGACCAUGCUACCCCUCCUAUUUUUAGCAGAUGACACCUUACAUUUAGACUAAACAUAACCAUACCUUAGUAAAGGAAGGUGUCAUCGGCUUUAACUCUCGAUAAAGAAACAAUAAAGAGAACCAAUGGCAAGCUC